UACGUAGGUGACAAGCGUUGUCCGGAUUUACUGGGCGUAAAGAGCGCGCAGGCGGUCGUUCAAGUCGAGUGUGAAAGCCCCCCGGCUCAACUGGGGAGGGUCAUUCGAUACUGAUCGACUCGAAGGCAGGAGAGGGAAGUGGAAUUCCCGGUGUAGUGGUGAAAUGCGUAGAUAUCGGGAGGAACACCUGUGGCGAAAGCGGCUCACUGGACCACAACUGACGCUGAGGCGCGAAAGCGUGGGGAGCAAACAGG
rnacentral:rRNA from 1 species